GGAGGUCACCUAGAGGGGCCUGAGGAAGCCUCUGGGUAGGACCCCGGCAAAGAGGGCUUGGAAUGCAGGUGUCAGGGCUAGGUACAGAUAUGUGUAAGCACAUGACUGGCGUGGCCUGCAGCUCCCCCAAGAGAAGUAUCUACACCCUUUCUUCACAUUUAUAGGCAACAGAAAGAAAUUCUUCACAGGAAAUGACUUGAAUUUAAUUUGCCAUGGACUUCUUCAGCUGGAUACCAGAAAUCCAUUCGUUCUGUACCAAUCCUGCGCUGAGCACCUGAAAGUGCUGAGGCCCAAUAAUGAGGGCAGAACACUUGGCUUCAGAGAGUACACAGCAUCUGGCAGAGAAAGAAAUAUACCACAAAUGGGGCGUUUCGGAGGUUAAGGAAAAUUCCCUCUCCCCGCACACUGGGGGCACUGAAGAAAUGAAGAACACGAUGCAUCCACUCUGAAGCAGAGAUUCAGAAAAAAGCUAAAGGAGUUGACUUGCUUGAGUGUAUGCCCCUGGGAGGAAGGUGUGUAAGGUUAUGUAAGAUGGAACCAAUUUUAUCCCGUGUGAUGCUAGGAAAAGAAUGGAAAGCCACACCACAGAGGGGUCUAAAUUGAGCGCAUUGCGGUCAGUGUUCAGCCUGAGCUGAGAAAAGAAACCAGGCUCCCCAUGGGGAGGCAGGAACUUUCUCAGUGAUUUUUGAAGUCCAUGUAAAUAAAUAAAUAGCUAACAUUUAUUGAGCACUUGUUAUGUGAGCACUCUUCUAAGAGAUUUGUGUGCAUUGAUUUAUUUUCAUCACAGAACUUGACAGGUG
rnacentral:lncRNA from 1 species